ACAAUGGAUCUCUAGGCUCUUGCAUCGAUGAAGAACGCAGUGAACUGCGAUAACUGGUGUGAGUUGCACGGCACUCUAAUCUAACGCCAAGUGAAUCAUCGAGUCUUUGAACGCAAACGGCACCCUUCCAGUCCAUUCCAAAGCGGUGGCGGAGGAUGAAGACAAGG
rnacentral:rRNA from 1 species